rnacentral:rRNA from 1 species
AUUGAACGCUGGCGGCAUGCUUUACACAUGCAAGUCGAACGGCAGCGCGGGCUUCGGCCUGGCGGCGAGUGGCGAACGGGUGAGUAAUGCAUCGGAACGUGCCCAGUAGUGGGGGAUAGCCCGGCGAAAGCCGGAUUAAUACCGCAUACGACCUGAGGGUGAAAGCGGGGGACCGAAAGGCCUCGCGCGAUUGGAGCGGCCGAUGUCGGAUUAGCUAGUUGGUGGGGUAAAGGCUUACCAAGGCGACGAUCCGUAGCUGGUCUGAGAGGACGACCAGCCACACUGGGACUGAGACACGGCCCAGACUCCUACGGGAGGCAGCAGUGGGGAAUUUUGGACAAAGGGGGCAACCCUGAUCCAGCCAUGCCGCGUGCGGGAAGAAGGCCUUCGGGUUGUAAACCGCUUUUGUUCGGGAAGAAAUCCUCUGGGCUAAUACCCCGGGGGGAUGACGGUACCGGAAGAAUAAGCACCGGCUAACUACGUG